rnacentral:rRNA from 1 species
AGAGUUUGAUCAUGGCUCAGAUUGAACGCUGGCGGCAGGCCUAACACAUGCAAGUCGAGCGGUAGCACAGAGAGCUUGCUCUCGGGUGACGAGCGGCGGACGGGUGAGUAAUGUCUGGGAAACUGCCUGAUGGAGGGGGAUAACUACUGGAAACGGUAGCUAAUACCGCAUAAUGUCGCAAGACCAAAGUGGGGGACCUUCGGGCCUCAUGCCAUCAGAUGUGCCCAGAUGGGAUUAGCUUGUAGGUGGGGUAACGGCUCACCUAGGCGACGAUCCCUAGCUGGUCUGAGAGGAUGACCAGCCACACUGGAACUGAGACACGGUCCAGACUCCUACGGGAGGCAGCAGUGGGGAAUAUUGCACAAUGGGCGCAAGCCUGAUGCAGCCAUGCCGCGUGUGUGAAGAAGGCCUUCGGGUUGUAAAGCACUUUCAGCGGGGAGGAAGGCGGUGAGGUUAAUAACCUCAGCGAUUGACGUUACCCGCAGAAGAAGCACCGGCUAACUCCGUGCCAGCAGCCGCGGUAAUACGGAGGGUGCAAGCGUUAAUCGGAAUUACUGGGCGUAAAGCGCACGCAGGCGGUCUGUCAAGUCGGAUGUGAAAUCCCCGGGCUCAACCUGGGAACUGCAUUCGAAACUGGCAGGCUAGAGUCUUGUAGAGGGGGGUAGAAUUCCAGGUGUAGCGGUGAAAUGCGUAGAGAUCUGGAGGAAUACCGGUGGCGAAGGCGGCCCCCUGGACAAAGACUGACGCUCAGGUGCGAAAGCGUGGGGAGCAAACAGGAUUAGAUACCCUGGUAGUCCACGCCGUAAACGAUGUCGAUUUGGAGGUUGUGCCCUUGAGGCGUGGCUUCCGGAGCUAACGCGUUAAAUCGACCGCCUGGGGAGUACGGCCGCAAGGUUAAAACUCAAAUGAAUUGACGGGGGCCCGCACAAGCGGUGGAGCAUGUGGUUUAAUUCGAUGCAACGCGAAGAACCUUACCUGGUCUUGACAUCCACAGAACUUAGCAGAGAUGCUUUGGUGCCUUCGGGAACUGUGAGACAGGUGCUGCAUGGCUGUCGUCAGCUCGUGUUGUGAAAUGUUGGGUUAAGUCCCGCAACGAGCGCAACCCUUAUCCUUUGUUGCCAGCGGUCCGGCCGGGAACUCAAAGGAGACUGCCAGUGAUAAACUGGAGGAAGGUGGGGAUGACGUCAAGUCAUCAUGGCCCUUACGACCAGGGCUACACACGUGCUACAAUGGCAUAUACAAAGAGAAGCGACCUCGCGAGAGCAAGCGGACCUCAUAAAGUAUGUCGUAGUCCGGAUUGGAGUCUGCAACUCGACUCCAUGAAGUCGGAAUCGCUAGUAAUCGUAGAUCAGAAUGCUACGGUGAAUACGUUCCCGGGCCUUGUACACACCGCCCGUCACACCAUGGGAGUGGGUUGCAAAAGAAGUAGGUAGCUUAACCUUCGGGAGGGCGCUUACCACUUUGUGAUUCAUGACUGGGGUGAAGUCGUAACAAGGUAACCGUAGGGGAACCUGCGGUUGGAUCACCU